rnacentral:rRNA from 1 species
CAGCAGCCGCGGUAAUACGAGGGGGGCAAGCGUUGUUCGGAAUUAUUGGGCGUAAAGGGUGCGUAGGCGGUUUGGCAAGUCUUAUGUGAAAUCUCCGGGCUCAACCCGAAGUCUGCAUGAGAAACUACUGGGCUUGAGUAAUGGAGAGGUGAGUGGAAUUUCCGGUGUAGCGGUGAAAUGCGUAGAUAUCGGAAGGAACACCUGUGGCGAAGGCGGCUCACUGGACAUUUACUGACGCUGAUGCACGAAAGCUAGGGGAGCAAACAGGAUUAGAUACCCCAGUAGUCCCUGUCUCUUAUAC